CAUCACUACGCUAGAUGCAUAUCAAUAAGCGGAGGAAAAGAAACUAACAAGGAUUCCCCUAGUAACGGCGAGUGAAGCGGGAAGAGCUCAAAUUUGAAAUCUUAAAGGGUUUCCCUUACGAAUUGUAGUUUAAAGAAGUGUUUUCUGUUGGAGUUUCGGUAAAAGUUCUUUGGAAUAGGACAUCAUAGAGGGUGAGAAUCCCGUAUUUGACCAUUAUUUCCAGCUGUGUGAUACACUUUCAAAGAGUCGGAUUGUUUGGGAAUGCAGUCCAAAAUGGGUGGUAAAUUUCAUCUAAAGCUAAAUAUUGGCGAGAGACCGAUAGCGGACAAGUACCGUGAGGGAAAGAUGAAAAGAACUUUGAAAAGAGAGUUAAACAGUACGUGAAAUUGUCAAAAGGGAAGCGUUUGACACCAGUGUUGUUUAGUUGAAAAUCAAUUCAAUAAUUUUUGAUUCUAAGUAGUAUUGACCUCAUCAGCUUGCUGCUUUCUUCUCAGAAAUUAUUGAAUGCACUUUUCAGUUAACAAGUCAACAUCAAUUUCUUUUGUUGUAAAAGGGUAAGAGGAAGGUGGCUUACGCUUCGGCGUCAAGUGUUUAUAGCCUUUUAUCCUCUGCAAUCGGAGAGAUUGAGGUCAUGCAGCGUAGACUCCUUCGGGGGUUAGAUACACUUGUGCUAAGCUAUAGCCUUGUAUAGACAACUUGUUGACUAUGCUCAGUCAUGUAGCUUACUCGCAUGAUGCUAUUUUACCUACGCUUAGGAUGUUGACACACGCGCGUGCUCG
rnacentral:rRNA from 1 species